GACGAACGCUGGCGGCGUGCCUAAUACAUGCAAGUAGAACGCUGAAGGAGGAGCUUGCUCUUCUGGACGAGUUGCGAACGGGUGAGUAACGCGUAGGUAACCUGCCUGGUAGCGGGGGAUAACUAUUGGAAACGAUAGCUAAUACCGCAUAACAGUAGAUGUUGCAUGACAUUUGCUUAAAAGGUGCAAUUGCACCACUACCAGAUGGACCUGCGUUGUAUUAGCUAGUUGGUGGGGUAACGGCUCACCAAGGCGACGAUACAUAGCCGACCUGAGAGGGUGAUCGGCCACACUGGGACUGAGACACGGCCCAGACUCCUACGGGAGGCAGCAGUAGGGAAUCUUCGGCAAUGGACGGAAGUCUGACCGAGCAACGCCGCGGGAGUGAAGAAGGUUUUCGGAUCGUAAAGCUCUGUUGUAAGAGAAGAACGAGUGUGAGAGUGGAAAGUUCACACUGUGACGGUAUCUUACCAGAAAGGGACGGCUAACUACGUG
rnacentral:rRNA from 1 species